rnacentral:lncRNA from 1 species
CAGCUAUAAUAACAUGCUGACACAUCAGCCAGCCCUUCUAUCUUACUAUCCCCACGCUUCGCCAUCACACCGCUAAAUGCAGCCACGCCAGAGAUGAAAGCAGUCUAUGAAUAAAGCUUACACCUCACAGCAGCUGCUCAAACACAAACACAUUCUUAUAGCUGGUGUGUGUGUAUGUGUGUAACGACAGCUUAAACACAGUCCACAACUCUCACAAAGGAGCUCGCUGAUGCCCACACAUGAUAAUCCCUGACAUCUUGAGGAGGAGAAGAAAGAAGAAAAAAUACCCUGCUAAUCACAGAAUUUUAACUGGUUUUAAUGGUUAUAAUAACAAUUGUAUUGGUUGUAAUGGGAACUUUUGGUUUUGUGAAUGUCUACUGGUAAUUUAUCUGCCUUCUGUUGGUGGUGUGUUAAAGGGUUCACCCAAAAACGAAAACCCAACCCCUGACACCUUCGUUUGUCUCUGCAACUCAAGUUGAGAUAUUUUAGAUGAAAUCCAGGAGCUCUCUCCUACAUAGACAGCAAUGCAUCUGAAACAUUCUAAAGAAAAGAAAAAGAACCAAAACAUUUUCACAUUUCACGUGACUUCAGUGCUUCAACUGUAAUCAUAUAAAGCUCCAAGAACAGUUUUGUGCAUUAAAAACAGUGUAAAAUGACUUUUGACCUAUGUCUUACAUAUCAGGUCAGGGAGUGUGUGUUUAACAACAGCUUAAACACAGUCUACAACUCUCCCGAAGUAACUCGCUGAUGCCCACACAUGAUAAUCCGUGACAUCUCGAGAAGAAAAAGGAAGAA